CCCACCCACACCUGGGCUCUGCCUUCUCUCCCAACCUGUGAAUGUUGGGGUGUGUGUGUGUGUGUGUGUGUGUGUAAGAGAGGGAGAGAGAAAGAGAAAAAGGAGGAAGAACCAGAAUAAACAGAGGAAAGAGAUAACAGACUUAAUUAUAUGCAUAAUGUUAGAAUAAAUUGAGAAGAUGACCUGAAUCACAGUAUAAACUUCUCAUGCUGCUGCUGCUGCUGCUAAGUCACUUCAGUCGUGUCCAACUCUGUGUGACCGCAUAGACGGCAGACCACCAGGCUAAUCAGGUUAAUACGUGUGUCCUGGAGAAGAGAAAAGAUCAUGAGUAACGUUAACAGGGAUUAAUGGUAUUUUUUUGACCUGCUAAAUGAUGGCACUUCACUUGCUUUUGGGGUGCCAUUGCCUUCUCUGUCCUACUAUACCCUAAUUGUUUACUAUAAUUAGAAAGGGUUUCCUUAAUCAAAGCCAGAAUGAAACCCAGGAGUGAGAUGUUGGUGGCAGCAGCUGGUGCCCUCUCUUCACCUUCCUACAGCUAUAAGGUGACGUCAAAAGGGAAGUGAGUGGUGGGUUUGAGAUGCGUGUUGUGCUUUUGUACUUCUUAACUAAAAAAAAAUCAUAUGCAUGUAGAACUAUUAAAAACCACACUUGAAAAAAUUAAUGUGACCUCAUUUUGUAGUCAUAAACAGGUGAGGCCCAGAAUUAAUUAAAUUUAUUAAUUAGAAUAAU
rnacentral:lncRNA from 1 species